rnacentral:misc_RNA from 1 species
UUAACUUAUUAUAUAGUACUCAGACGACACUAAACACAAGAGUUGGGGUUCUCUGGCAGGCGCUCUCCAGCAACGGGUGCCGGGGGCCCGAAGGCGGCCUGCCAAAGCAACAAGAGUAAAUUAUACAGGGUGGGAGGUCUACCCCGAAGGGCAUAUCUCUGUAAUGAUCCUUCCGCUGGUUCACCAACGGAAA